UAGGGAAUCUUCCACAAUGGACGCAAGUCUGAUGGAGCAACGCCGCGUGAGUGAAGAAGGUUUUCGGAUCGUAAAGCUCUGUUGUUGGUGAAGAAGGAUAGAGGCAGUAACUGGUCUUUAUUUGACGGUAAUCAACCAGAAAGUCACGGCUAACUACGUGCCAGCAGCCGCGGUAAUACGUAGGUGGCAAGCGUUGUCCGGAUUUAUUGGGCGUAAAGCGAGCGCAGGCGGAAUGAUAAGUCUGAUGUGAAAGCCCACGGCUCAACCGUGGAACUGCAUCGGAAACUGUCAUUCUUGAGUGCAGAAGAGGAGAGUGGAAUUCCAUGUGUAGCGGUGGAAUGCGUAGAUAUAUGGAAGAACACCAGUGGCGAAGGCGGCUCUCUGGUCUGCAACUGACGCUGAGGCUAGAAAGCAUGGGUAGCGAACAGG
rnacentral:rRNA from 2 species